ACAUGGGUAGUUCAGUGGUAGGAUUAUCGCCUUCCACGCAGCAGACCCAGGUUCAAUUCCCAGCCCAUGCA
rnacentral:tRNA from 1 species